rnacentral:rRNA from 1 species
AUUGAACGCUGGCGGCAGGCCUAACACAUGCAAGUCGAACGAGUGGCGGACGGGUGAGUAAUGUUUGGGAAUCUAGCCUAUGGAGGGGGAUAACUACGGGAAACUGUAGCUAAUACCGCGUACCAUAGGAUGAACCCAAGUGGGAUUAGGUAGUUGGUGAGGUAACGGCUCACCAAGCCGACGCUCUCUAGCUGGUCUGAGAGGAUGACCAGCCACACGGGGACUGAGACACGGCCCAGACUCCUACGGGAGGCAGCAGUGGGGAAUAUUGCACAAUGGGCGCAAGCCUGAUGCAGCCAUGCCGCGUGUAUGAAGAAGGCCUUAGGGUUGUAAAGUACUUUCAGCGGGGAGGCGUUACCCGCAGAAGAAGCACCGGCUAACUCCGUGCCAGCAGACGCGGUAAUAC